rnacentral:Y_RNA from 1 species
AGCUGGUCUGAUGGUAGUGGUUUAUCAGAACUUACUAACAUUAGUGUCACUAAAGUUGAUGCACAACCCCUCACUGCUAAAUUUGACUGUCUUAAA